rnacentral:rRNA from 1 species
GACGAACGCUGGCGGCGUGCUUAACACAUGCAAGUCGAACGGAAAGGCCCUGCUUUUGUGGGGUGCUCGAGUGGCGAACGGGUGAGUAACACGUGAGUAACCUGCCCUUGACUUUGGGAUAACUUCAGGAAACUGGGGCUAAUACCGGAUAGGAGCUCCUGCUGCAUGGUGGGGGUUGGAAAGUUUCGGCGGUGGGGGAUGGACUCGCGGCUUAUCAGCUUGUUGGUGGGGUAGUGGCUUACCAAGGCUUUGACGGGUGGCCGGCCUGAGAGGGUGACCGGCCACAUUGGGACUGAGAUACGGCCCAGACUCCUACGGGAGGCAGCAGUGGGGAAUAUUGCACAAUGGGCGGAAGCCUGAUGCAGCAACGCCGCGUGCGGGAUGACGGCCUUCGGGUUGUAAACCGCUUUCGCCUGUGACGAAGCGUGAGUGACGGUAAUGGGUAAAGAAGCACCGGCUAACUACGUG